GGACUCGUCCAGAUGCGCGGGACGACGCUUCCCAUGGACAACAUCGCCGUCCAGAUUCGUCCUUUCGUCCUAAGUGUUCUUGUCCUCUUCCAAUGAGUAGCUCAGCAGCAAGAUUGCUUGCCCUGUUGCAGCAACAAAGAAAAAAAUCCGAAAAAAACCCAAAAAAAGAAAGGAAGGUUUUGUGUUAUUUUCAGUGUUCCUGCAGGUACGGUGGUCCAGUCAUCAGCUGCCAACAGGCUCUGGAGUUUCCCCAUCACUUCUUCAAACAACGUCAUUCUACUCAGCACAUGGAUAAGCCGAAAAUACUACACAGAAGGACCGCCGAUUGACGAGUCCCGCAACAGGUGAUACAAGAACAGGAAAGACUACUCAAGAAUAUGGGGAAUAGAGAAAUUCACAUUUCGUGAGGGAUCACGUUAACGAAUAAUUACCCUCUUAAAAUCUUCAUUCUCGAUGCAAUGAUUAUACGUGACAUGAGAGAGAUAGUGUUUGGAAAUGAUAAUAUUUCCUCAUCUGGGUUUUUUAACAAAUGAUCCGGGACACUCGUUUUGUGAGAUCAACCGUGUAGACAUUUUAAUGAGGUACUCCAUGGUGGAAGAUCCGUUGAGACGAUUGGAUGAAGUAGUUGAGAAGGACAAUGCUUUUGUUUCAAAACCAGAAAUCACUUUAGAUAUGGAUGGUCAUUGUUGUUGAUGAAUCGCCCACCCGCUGGCCAUUAUGGUUUAUAUAUAGACAACCGUAGGAUUCAUAGAAUGUUGAAUCCAAGUAUCAAAUACAGUCUAUCAAUCACUUUUCAUUAUAGAUAUGUCAUGACAAAAUAAUAUUAGGCUAGGUGAUUGUCGCAUAUCACAUCUGCAGUUGAUAUGAUGCACGAGGAUCAACUGUAGCACGUCACACAUUCCUCAAAUCCACCGUUUCGAAUUAAGACGAUGAUGUUUGUAAAUUACUCAAUGCUCAAUCGAAAGAGUGCUAAACUAAGUGGCAAAAUAAAAAUAAAAUACUAAACUGCCAAAAACCCAAACAUAGAGCUGUUGUGCACUUGGCUCCAAUCCCAUGAUGUCCUUCGUUAGACCUUGAGAAUCGUUCUGUCAAUUCCUCCGUUUUCUAAUUUUGGAUCUCUGCUGUUUUGUCUCUCUUCUCUGUCUCAUUCUUGCUCUCUCUCUUUCCCUUUCCUUCUCCUCUCUUCAUUCUUUUCUCUGCAUCGGCAAUUUCAAGUUUGAAGAAGAAUAUAUCAAGGAAUAUGUCGACGCAGGAUCAGGGCCGGUCCUUGCCGAAAUUUGGUGAGUGGGACGUGAACAAUCCUGCUUCCGCCGAAGGUUUCACUGUCAUAUUUAGCAAGGCCAGGGACGAGAAAAAAUCCCCUAAUGGAGCUGUCGAAAACGGGCCGGUGUCGCAGAGAAACGACAAUGCGUCAAAGCGGGAAGGAGCAUAUCCUCCCGUGAAGAAACGGUGGUGCUGCUUCUGAGUCCUUGCUUUAGCCAGAGAAUUUAAGAUGUUUUGUGUGACGACGACACCCGUGACAUUCAUAGCCGCCCUUAUGAUGGCGGCGCCGAGACACUCAAUUUGAUCAAGUGCCAUCGCCAUCUCAUUAGAAAUCUAUGUUACUUGGAGAUUCAUUGUUCUAAAUGUUAUACAUAUAUACAUAUAUAUAGGAGGGAGAAAACAAUGUAGCCAUCAUAGAAGAGCGGCGCCCCUCGCGAAUGUUCUUUUUUGUACAGUCUCCAGAUCUUAGCAAGUCCUUUUAAGGAUUUUCAGAUGUUCACUUGUUUCAGCAAGGUUGUAUGCUGAAUAAUUCUGCAAAUGAAUUCGCAUUUGAGACAA